rnacentral:tRNA from 1 species
UCCGCGGUAGCGCAGCGGUAGCGCAGCUGCCUGUUAAGCAGUUGGUCGUAGGUUCGAAUCCUACCCGCGGAGCUA